rnacentral:rRNA from 1 species
ACUCCUACGGGAGGCAGCAGUGGGAAUCUUGGACAAUGGGGGCACCCGUAGCUCCAGCCAUGCCGCGUGAGUGAUGAAGGCCCUAGGGUCGUAAAGCUCUUUCGCCUGUGAAGAUAAUGAUUGUAGCAGGUAAAGAAACCCCGCGUACAUCCGUGCCAGCAGCCGCGGUAAUACGGAGGGGGUUAGCGUUGUUCGGAAUUACUGGGCGUAAAGCGCGCGUAGGCGGACUGGAAAGUUGGGGUGG